UACAGGGGGGGCAAGCGUUGUUCGGAAUUACUGGGCGUAAAGGGUGCGUAGGCGGCGGGGCAAGUCUGAUGUGAAAUCCCGGGGCUCAACCCCGGAACUGCAUUGGAUACUGCCUUGCUUGAGUACUGGAGAGGGAACUGGAAUUUACGGUGUAGCAGUGAAAUGCGUAGAGAUCGUAAGGAAGGCCAGUGGCGAAGGCGAGUUCCUGGACAGUUACUGACGCUGAGGCACGAAGGCCAGGGGAGCAAACGGG
rnacentral:rRNA from 1 species